rnacentral:lncRNA from 1 species
GUGCCAGUUCAAUCAGCUUGACCCUAAUCCGAUUCAGUGACUUGGUGAAGUCAGUUAGAAGAUUGUGGUCUACUGAUUGAUCUCUUCUUCUCUAUUUUCUAAAUUGAUUAAAUCUUCUAACUUAUUAUUUUCCUAAUAUGAGCUGGUUAUGGUGAUAACUAGAUCAUAGCCUCCUAUUAAAGUCAAUGGUAAUGGGUUCAUUAUUUUUGAUUGACAUUGCAGGCGCCAUCUAUCUAGUGUUCUCUUUAAAUGAUGAAAUUAUCGUU